rnacentral:lncRNA from 1 species
CUCACUCUCAAAGCCUGUUUCCUAGGCUACGAGGGAUGUAUUCUUUAUCCUUCUGCCUAGGGGAAAAGUCACUAGACCAUGGGCAGAGAGUGCCACAUGCACAUGCACAAAGUUACACACACACACACACACACACACACAUACACACACCAGCCAAGAAGCAACACCCCCUCCACAGCCAGCUGAGCAGCGUCAUCUGUAAGCUCUCCUAGAAAAAAAAGUUAUCAAGUACUUACUGUAUACAAAAUCAUAAAAUCUGAUAAAAGAGGAGUUUGUUUACCCAAAGGCGCGGUGC